ACGUGCGCGUCAUAUUGACGUAAAUAAUUAGAAAAUUGAAGUAAUUGUGUGAUAUUAAUUAUCCAGUAUUCCUUGAUAUACAUUUACAAGAAUAAUAUAACGUAGUUUAUAUCGAGUACGUGUUGUGUGUCAUAUAAAUGUGAUCACUAUCUGUUUUUACGUUUCUUAUAAGUACUUUCCAUUUGAAGAUUUCUUAACAAGAUGUCUAUCUAUACGAGCGUUACAUUGUCAAUAGUCUUCGAGGCAAAGACUGGUCGAAGUCUGGUACAGAACCGUCACGUAUCUACGAGUCACCAAUGGCGUACCGCAACAACAGCGCGCUUGAAAUAUUAAUCCACCCACGAAGCUGAAGCAGAGACGAUCGGUACAGUGAGGAAGCUGGUCUCGGAGAUCGCUACGGGCGAAUGUUUAACGAGGGUCGUCGGAGCUCGCUGAAGCCAGAAGGCUCUGGACGCGCGAGAAUUGGAGAAGAAUCGGACACGUCCAACCACUGCAGAAAACGGACGACCGGAACCUCGAAAGCCGG
rnacentral:lncRNA from 1 species